UCGUCUCGGUUGUAUAUUUUCAGGCACUUGGACGUGGUACAACGCGGGCGCACCCAGCGAGCCAGCCGCCCAGCCACAGAUGAAGAGGAAGGAGCCCAUCGCCCAGCUUUGUUUAGCAGCCAACCUUGGCCAAGGCGGUGAGUAACGGGCUUGUUUUGUAGCACUUCUGGAUCCCUGUUUUGCAUUACAACUUGAUCAGAGCAGCUAGGGUUCUUCUUUUGACCUCUUGUUUUUCUGUGUUUUCAGGAGCGUCGAUCACAACCACAUGUACAGCAGCAUUCUGGGGAGCAAGGAUCGACUGCGACCGCACAUGGAAGAGAGGGUAUGCGGUGUGAUGCAGCCCUCUAUUCCCAAGAAGAGCAGACUGUCACCAGUAGGCAGCAGUUCUGCAAUGCACUGCGGUCAAUCCCUAAUGUGUAGCAGAAGAGGAGGUGUAUGCUGAGCCGGAAGGAUUCCAACUGCAGUCAAGAAGAGAAGAGGAGGAUGCGCAGCCAGCAGCCAAGCCCAGCCCAGUCCGCCCCAGCCCAGGAGGGGAUCCAGCUCAGCCAAACUCAGCCCAGCCAUGCCGAGGUUCCAAUUCCACUACCAGGAAGCAUAACAGAGAAGCAUUUUGAAUUUAUUUCUUUCCUUCUGUCUCUUCUCUGUCUUCUGAGCACUUCCCUAAUCUAACAGAACUAACCAUCCCCUACCCCUAACAUUCAUUUUGUUGUAAUUUCAUUGAAUUUGUGUGCUUUGUUUCAUUGUUUCAAAUUUUUACUAAUCUCCUCUCAGUUGUAUAUUUUCAGGCACUCGGACAUGGUACAACACUGGAGCACCCAGCCAGC